UUUUGUUUUUUUGUUUUUUUGUUUUUUUUUACUUUUUUGGCCUGCUUUAUAUUCACUGGCAGCUGACUAGAUUGUGCCCACCCAGAUUAAGGGUGUGUCUGCCUUCCCCAGCCCACUGACUCAAAUAUUACUCUCCUUUGGCAGCACCCUCACAGACACAUCCAGGAUCAAUACUUUUCAUCCUUCAAUCCAAUCAAGUUGACACUCAGUAUUAACCAUCACAGCAAGUCUUCAAUUUUAGUUGCCAAAUUUCCAGAGACUGGCAAAAAAGAAAAAAGAAAAAAAUCCAGAAUGUCAUUGGCAUAAGUAGUAAAUUUGAGUAAGUACAUUUGGGCCUUUUGAGUAUUCAAAAACCCUGUAUAUUUUUAUUUAAAUGUCCACACAAGUCAUUUUUAAAAAUUUUUUGUAGAUAUGAGAUUUCACUGUGGUGCUCAGGCUGAUCUCAAACUCCUGGCUUCAGGCAAUCCUCCCACCUCCGCCUCCCAAAGUACUGGGAUUGUAGACUUGAGCCACCAUUCCAAGGUGGUAGCGUAAACUUUUCAGUAUUGCUGUUAGCAAGUGAGUGUUUGCCAGUAUUUGUCCAUUGUACUCAUGUGCCAAGUAGAUGUUCAUUGCACAUCUGCUUUCACUGUGUCACCAUGGUGCCAUGAAGUGUGUGAGGAGCCUCUAAUCUGCAAGGAUGAAUGCUGCAUUGACUACAGGAUUCUGUUGUGUGGAAUGGUCACCUACACAAAUUCUAUAGGCAUAGUAAUUUACUUUUUUAUAUAUCAAGUAACUAUUUGUAAAACUUAUACUCCCAAAUUAUUACAAUGAUUACAAAUAUGUUUUUCCAUGUUUCAUUGCCUGAAUAAAAACUGUUUAGCACUGCUAAAAAAAUAAAUGUCCACACAAUAGCUAUAACAAGCUGAUCUCGCCUAACGCACUCCUACUAUUCCCCAUACAAGUGAAAAUUUAAUCACACUCAACCUCCCUCAAAAAAGCUGAUUUGAUAUUUAUUAAUUAUUUUAAUUAUUUUCAAGCUUCAUUGAGGUAUAAUUGUUAUAAUAAAAAAUUGAAUAUGCCUAAUGUAUACAUUUUGAUGAGUUUAUACAGAUGCAUCUACCCAAGAUGCCAUCACAGUAACAAUUUCCUCUGUGUGUAUGUGUGUGUGUGUGUGUGUGUGUGUGUGUGUGUGUGUGUGAUUGGUUGAGUUUGUGGUAAAAGCAUUUAACAUGAGUUGUAUCUUCUUAACUUCUUUUUUGUUGUUGUUGCAAUGGAAUCUUGCUCUGUCACCCAGGCUGGAGUGCAGUGGCAUAAUCUCAGCUCACUGCAACCUCUGCCUCCUGGGUUCAAGCAAUUCUCCUGCUUCAGCCUCCCGAGUAGCUGGGAUUACAUGUAGGAGUCACCAAGCCUGGCUAAUUUUUGUAUUUUUUAGUAGAGACGGGGUUUCGCCAUGUUGGCCAGGCUAGUCUCGAACUCCUGACCUCAGGUGAUCCACCCACCUUAGCCUCUCAAAAUGCUAGAAUUACAGGUGUGAGCCACCAUGCCAGGCCUUUAACAUAUUUUAAAAUGUACAAUAUCAUAUUGUUAACUAUUGCUGACUGUCAUUCAUUUCUCUUCUUAGUCAAAAUUUUACUUAUGGUUUCUAAAAAUUUUCAAUUAAGGUAUAAAGUCAGCUAUUCCUGUAACAUAGUAAAAAUUUCCUAGUCUAAAUUUUCUAAAAAACAUAUAUAUUUAGAAAGUAUAUUUUUUUUCCAGAAAAUAUGCUGCAGAUGGGCAGCCAGUAGUGGCAAUAACCAGGUUAGAUUGAUGAAUGGCAAUCUGUAUUAGGUAUAGCUACUGAUGAAGACCACUUCAUUUUAUUUUGGACAUUACUAAUUUAUUUUUAAAGUUGGUUCCUGCCAUUUCAGAAAUAAGAAUCUUAGGUACCAAAAAUUUUCAAGAAACUCACCAUGAUAAAUCUUGAAAAUAUAUAUGAUUUUCUUACUUUUCAUUGGUGUCUGGAAGACUACGUUAUAGCUACAUUAAGAAAUGAAUUUUAGAAAAGUUUGCAAUUGAUUAUUGAUGGAAUGCAUUGUGUUAAGUUAUAGGCCAAGUAUACUUGCUUUUUCUACUGCUUGUUAGGUAUUUAUAGUGUGUGCAUAUGGUCAAAAUUCUUAACAAUUAAGACAUAUGUCUCUUCCUUACAAAGCUUGUAUCAUUAUGCAAUAAAAUGUAUUAUAUCCAUGCUUUCCACAAAUUAUUUCCAAUAAAUGUUUGUGUAAUUACAUUUACUUUAGCAUUUUGCUUUAUCUCUUACCAUUCUGCUUUACCAAUCCCUUAAAAAGUAAAUAAAUUAUGUUUGCC
rnacentral:lncRNA from 1 species